UUGUCGUACAAAAAUCCCUCACGUGACCUGAUCCUAGGUGCCUAGGGACAGCAUCAUUUAGGGAUUUUUGAGAAGGCACGAUGCUGGCGCCGAGCGACGCCGUGGCGUGUUCGUCCUCGGCGUGAUCGUUCUCUGGGCCGCGCGUUGUUCAACAUUGCUCAUGUAAUCGUGCGUGCGUUGCUUGUGUGUUGGUUGUAGGUUCUGUGUUACUUGGCGGAAAGCCGUGAGUAGUGGCGGUGCGGCAAUGCGGCUUUGGCCUCGAUGAGGUCUGGCACUACAGAAUCUGCGUUGUGUGACCCGUGCUUUCUUGAGAACCCGGCGGUGGUGACAAUUGAAAUAUCGAAGUGGUCUAGCGCCUCGGCAGCGAAGUUCUGCGAACCGCGAUGUGGCGUCGCCGUGUCCGACUUUGCUUAACGGACAUCGAGGGAUGUGCUGCUCGCUGCAAGUCAUGCACCUUUUCUACUUGAAGCUUCCAUUGCAGUGUUUUGAACAUCAUUGAACCAGCACAUAGUGUAUAUAAAUAUUGGACACUGAUUGGGAACAUCACCUAAGUUCAUGCCUAUAUAUAGUAAAAAGAUGUAGCACGACCAGACAAAAUAAAAGAAGGGGGUGGGCUGUAGCAAUACUAAGUGUUAAAUGGUGCUUUAUCCUUU